GUGACUGCUUUGCCAGUGGGGACUUUUGCAACAACUGCAAUUGUAAUAAUUGUUGCAACAACUUGCAUCAUGAUAUUGAACGGUUUAAAGCCAUUAAGGCAUGUCUUGGUAGAAAUCCAGAAGCUUUCCAGCCAAAAAUUGGGAAGGGCCAAUUGGGCAAUGUCAAGCCCCAGCACAACAAAGGGUGCAACUGCAGGAGGUCAGGCUGCCUGAAGAAUUACUGCGAGUGCUAUGAGGCCCAAAUUAUGUGUUCUUCUAUUUGCAAAUGCAUUGGUUGCAAAAAUUAUGAAGAAAGCCCAGAACGAAAGACACUAAUGAGCAUGCCAAACUACAUGCAGACUGGAGGUUUGGAAGGCAGCCAUUACCUGCCACCAACGAAAUUUUCAGGACUUCCAAGAUUCAGUCACGAUAGGCGGCCUUCCUCAUGCAUCUCCUGGGAGGUGGUGGAGGCCACAUGCGCCUGCCUGCUUGCUCAGGGAGAAGAGGCCGAGAAAGAACACUGCUCCAAGUGCCUGGCAGAGCAGAUGAUCCUGGAGGAAUUUGGAAGAAAUAAGUUCUCCGGAUGGGCUGUUGUGAUACCACUUAAAAUCUCUAGAGAACUACUGAACACCUAAAGAUUUUCUGUAGCGUAGAUAUUUCCCCAGAGGCACGCGAACUGUCAGUCUUUCCUAAGGCCCCCGGGAGACGCAGGCAAUGGGGCCUCGCAGGCCAGGCUUGCACCAGCAUGUCUUGAGUUAGAGGACUUAAAAUUAUCCAGUUUCUUCUGUGUUUCUACUUGAAUUGUGGAAAAGCUCUAUUAUCCAAUUAACUUCUCCAUAAUUAUUGUUGUAAUAUUAUUAUUGU
rnacentral:lncRNA from 1 species